rnacentral:rRNA from 1 species
AACCCUGAACGAGCAAUGCCGCGUGAGCGAAGAAGGAUUUCGGUCUGUAAAGCUCUGUUGUGAAGGAAGAACGCCUGGUACAGGAAAUGGUAUCAGGGUGACGGUACUUCACCAGAAAGCCACGGCUAACUACGUGCCAGCAGCCGCGGUAAUACGUAGGUGGCAAGCGUUAUCCGGAAUUAUUGGGCGUAAAGGGAGCGUAGGCGGUUUAAUAAGUCUGAAGUUAAAGGCAGUGGCUCAACCAUUGUAUGCUUUGGAAACUGUUAGACUAGAGUGCAGAAGAGGCAAGUGGAAUUCCAUGUGUAGCGGUAAAAUGCGUAGAUAUAUGGAGGAACACCAGUGGCGAAGGCGGCUUGCUGGUCUGCAACUGACGCUGAGGCUCGAAAGCGUGGGGAGCAAAUAGGAUUAGAUACCCUAGUAGUCCACGCCGUAAACGAUGAGAACUAAGUGUUGGAGGAAUUCAGUGCUGCAGUUAACGCAAUAAGUUCUCCGCCUGGGGAGUAUGCACGCAAGUGUGAAACUCAAAGGAAUUGACGGGGGCCCGCACAAGCGGUGGAGUAUGUGGUUUAAUUCGAAGCAACGCGAAGAACCUUACCAGGCCUUGACAUCCCAAGCAAAUAUAUGGAGACAUAUAGGAGGUUAUCUUGGUGACAGGUGGUGCAUGGUUGUCGUCAGCUCGUGUCGUGAGAUGUUGGGUUAAGUCCCGCAACGAGCGCAACCCUUGUCUUUAGUUACUAACAUUAAGUUGAGGACUCUAGAGAGACUGCCGGUGACAAACCGGAGGAAGGUGGGGAUGACGUCAAAUCAUCAUGCCCCUUAUGGCCUGGGCUACACACGUACUACAAUGGCAGUUACAAAGAGCAGCGAACUCGCGAGAGCAAGCAAAUCUCAUAAAGGCUGUCUCAGUUCGGAUUGGAGUCUGCAACUCGACUCCAUGAAGUCGGAAUCGCUAGUAAUCGUAGAUCAGCAUGCUACGGUGAAUACGUUCUCGGGCCUUGUACACACCGCCCGUCAAACCAUGGGAGUUGGUAAUACCCGAAGCCGGUGGCAUAACCUGUUUACAGGAGUGAGCCGUCGAAGGUAGGAUCGAUGACUAGGGUUAAGUCGUAACAAGGUAUCCCUACGGGAACGUGGGGAUGGAUCACCUCCUUUCU